rnacentral:ncRNA from 1 species
CCUGUUGUUCCGUCAACAGUAGCCUAAAGAGGCGUGCUUUACGAGUAAUUGUGUGGUGCGAAGCCCUCUCGACAAUAUGGUACUAUGCAGAAAUAUCCAAUGCAUAGGCUGUUAGGCUGACCGAUAUGAGUAA